GAUGAACGCUGGCGGCGUGCUUAACACAUGCAAGUCGAACGAAGCACUUUAUUUGAUUUCCUUCGGGGACUGAUUAUUUUGUGACUGAGUGGCGGACGGGUGAGUAACGCGUGGGUAACCUGCCUUGUACAGGGGGAUAACAGUUGGAAACGGCUGCUAAUACCGCAUAAGCGCACGGCAUCGCAUGAUGCAGUGUGAAAAACUCCGGUGGUAUAAGAUGGACCCGCGUUGGAUUAGCUAGUUGGGGAGGUAACGGCCCACCAAGGCGACGAUACAUAGCCGACAUGAGAGGGUGACCGGCCACAUUGGGACUAAGACACGGCCCAAACUCCUGCGGGAGGCAGCAGUGGGGAAUAUUGCACAAUGGGCGAAAGCCUGAUGCAGCGACGCCGCGUGAGCGAAGAAGUAUUUCGGUAUGUAAAGCUCUAUCAGCAGGGAAGAUAAUGACGGUACCUGACGAAGAAGCACCGGCUAAAUACGUG
rnacentral:rRNA from 1 species